AUUGAACGCUGGCGGCAGGCCUAACACAUGCAAGUCGAGCGAGCGGCGGACGGGUGAGUAAUGUAUGGGGACUGCCCGCUAGAGGGGGAUAACUACUGGAAACGGUAUCUAAUACCGCAUACUAUCGGAUAACCCAUAUGGGAUUAGCUAGUAGGUGGGGUAAUGGCUCACCUAGGCGACGAUCCCUAUCUGGUCUGAGAGGAUGAUCAGCCACACUGGGACUGAGAGACGGCCCAGACUCCAACGGAGGCAGCAGUUGUGAAUAUUGCACACUGGGCGCAAGCCAGAUGUAGCCAUGAGGCUUGUAUGAAGAAGUCCCUAGGGUUGUAAAGUCCUGUCAGUCGGGAGGCGUUACCGCCAGAAGAAGCACCGGCUAACUCCGUGCCAGCAUCCGCGGUAAUAC
rnacentral:rRNA from 1 species